rnacentral:rRNA from 1 species
CCUACGGGAGGCAGCAGUGAGGAAUCUUGGUCAAUGGGCGCGAGCCUGAUCCAGCCAAGUCGCGUGAAGGAUGAAUGCCCUCCGGGUUGUAAACUUCUUUUAUAAAGGAAUAAAGUGAGGCACGUGUGCCUUUUUGUAUGUACUUUAUGAAUAAGGAACGGCUAACUCCGCGCCAGCAGCCGAGGGAAUACGGAGGAUACGAGCGUUAUCCGGAUCUAUUGGGUUUAAAGGGAGCGUAGAUGGGUUGUUAAGUCAGUUGUGAAAGUUUGCGGCUCAACCGUAAAAUUGCAAUUGAUACUGGCAGUCUUGAGUACAGUAGAGGGAGGCGGAAUGCGUGGUGUAGCGGUGAAAUGCGUAGAUAUCACGAAGAACUCCGAUUGCGAAGGCAGCUUACUAAACUGCCACUGACAUUGAUGCUCGAAAGUGUGGGUAGCAAACAGGAUUAGAUACCCGGGUAGUC